GCCUGGGUAGUUCAGUCGGUGAAGCAUCUGACUUCGGCUCAGGUCAUGAUCUCGCAGUUCAUGGGUUCGAGCCCCAUACUGGGUU
rnacentral:tRNA from 1 species